UACAGAGGGUGCAAGCGUUAAUCGGAAUUACUGGCGUAAAGCGUGCGUAGACGGCUAUCUAAGUCGGGUGUGAAAGCCCCGGGCUCAACCUGGGAAUUGCAUUCGAGACUGAAUAGCUAGGGUGCGGUAGAGGGAAGCGGAAUUUCCGGUGUAGCGGUGAAAUGCGUAGAGAUCCGGAGGAACACCAGUGGCGAAGGCGACACGCUGGGCCGUACCUGACGCUAAAGCGCGACAGCAUGGGGAGCAAACGGG
rnacentral:rRNA from 1 species